CCUACGGGUGGCUGCAGUCGAGAAUCUUUCGCAAUGGGCGCAAGCCUGACGAAGCGACGCCGUGUGUGCGAUGAAGGCCCUUGGGUUGUAAAGCACUUUCGCCUGGGAACAAGAGAGUAUGGCUAAUAUCCAUGUAAUUUGAGGGUACCAGGUAAAGAAGCACCGGCUAACUACGUGCCAGCAGCUGCGGUAAUACGUAGGGUGCAAGCGUUAAUCGGAUUUAUUGGGCGUAAAGGGCGCGUAGACGGGAAUCAAAGUCAGAUGUGAAAUCCCGGGGCUCAACCCCGGAACAGCAUUUGAAACUUGAUUUCUGGAGGAUGGACGGAGAAAACGGAAUUCCACAAGUAGCGGUGAAAUGCGUAGAUAUGUGGAAGAACACCAGUGGCGAAGGCGGUUUUCUAGUUUAUACCUGACGUUGAGGCGCGAAAGCUAGGGGAGCA
rnacentral:rRNA from 1 species